UGGGGAAUAUUGGACAAUGGACCAAGAGUCUGAUCCAGCAAUUCUGUGUGCACGAUGAAGUUUUUCGGAAUGUAAAGUGCUUUCAGUUGGGAAGAAAGAAAUGACGGUACCAACAGAAGAAGUGACGGCUAAAUACGUGCCAGCAGCCGCGGUAAUACGUAUGUCACGAGCGUUAUCCGGAUUUAUUGGGCGUAAAGCGCGUCUAGGUGGUUAUGUAAGUCUGAUGUGAAAAUGCAGGGCUCAACUCUGUAUUGCGUUGGAAACUGUAUAACUAGAGUACUGGAGAGGUAAGCGGAACUACAAGUGUAGAGGUGAAAUUCGUAGAUAUUUGUAGGAAUGCCGAUGGGGAAGCCAGCUUACUGGACAGAUACUGACGCUGAAGCGCGAAAGCGUGGGUAGCAAACAGGAUUAGAUACCCUGGUAGUCCAUGCCGUAAACGAUGAUUACUAGGUGUUGGGGGUCGAACCUCAGCGCCCAAGCAAACGCGAUAAGUAAUCCGCCUGGGUAGUACGUACGCAAGUAUG
rnacentral:rRNA from 1 species